UGGGGCAAGUCCCCGCCCACUAUCAACAUUUAAUUUAAUCAUUUUAAUUGUGUGGCCAGAAUAAUUGCUGUGAUGUUUGCUUCCAACUGGCAAGAUACUCAUCAAAAUGAAAGGCUAUGGUACUGAAAGCCAUAUAACUAAUAGUUAUAGGCGCAUAACAGUCAAAACUAGAAGAAACAUGCUUUGUUCCCAGGAGAGGAAGUUGAAUGAUGAAUUGAAGUGAAGGAAGUGGUGGAGGGUGGCUCAGCCAUGCUUGACCUUUUCACCCCGCAGCUCCGCCCCUAUUGUUAUCAUGCAAUUGCACACCACCAAUAGGCCUCCAGAAAUAGUAAUUUCAUAAUAAUAAUUUCAGUGUUGCUUUAACACCAACAUUCAAGCAACGACACAAAACUUACUGAAUCGCCUGCAAUUUGUAAGACUGUCUGAUACAUGUCAUUGUACGUCUUUAAGAAGGAUUUUUCUUUCGAGUCUUCUCAUCCUCUUUGGCGAAAGGCUUCCCGUCACCCUGUUUGGAUGCGUCCUGCUACGGGCCGGUUUGUUUAUCCUCACAGUGUUUAGGUUGAGGAAGGCCAAGAAAGGAAGUCUGCCAUCUCCCAAAUGUUGUUUUGGGAUAUAAGUGACCAAAAGGGCAUACACAGGUUCCCCAACAUGGGCCCGGCCUUUAGCGACUGGAGAGGAUGAAGGGAAGGGGGGAGAUGAUGAAGGGUUGUGGGGGAGGAAGGAGAGACAUUUCUUCCUCCGGUGCAGACACUGACCCUAUAGGCGUCUGAAAUGAGAGGGAGAAUUAACGAAGAAUCCGGUCUUGGCAGGGCACAGCUAAUAUCAUGGUAAUUUAAAUAUGCUUUUAAGAAGUGUGUGUGUGUGUGUGUGUGUGUGUGUGUGUGUGUGUGUGUGUGUGUGUGUGUGUGUGUGUGUGUGUGUGUGUGUGUGUGUGUGUGUGUGUGUGUGUGUGUGUGUGUGUGAUGGAAAUAGACAAGUACAUCCAGUCGCCUCACAAGCAAACAAGUGGUGAGCCGUGCAAAAGGAAUUUCAGGCCCCUAACAAAAACAUUUGACCACACCUCGUAAGGCGAGCGACUUCCCCAUGGUGGAUUCCCUUUGCAGUUUGACACUUGGUUCAGGACCAGAUCUAAAUAGAUUUCUUUGUUCCCCCGGGGGCUGUAUUCCAGAGGAUACGGAAAACUCUCCCGACCCCGGAGCGUGUGGCUAUGUCGACGGCCUGACAUGCGGAAGUGCGGUCGCUCUCGGACGCUUUUGUUUUUGACGGUUUUUCUGUUGGUUUUCAGUCCCCUUGAAAACCAGCUUGAUUUGACUGCAUUUUGUUGACCUGUACUUCGCCCCCCAGGUCAUGUCGGCUACUUGUAGCCACCAAUGGAACAGGGCUUUUUAUUUACUAGGGUUUUUUUUUUACGCAUGUUUCUUUUUUUUUUUUUACACUAAUGGAUUGGAAGGCUGCUCGAAUUGUGUGACCAAGGCAGAGUUGGAGUGGUGGAUUCACACACGUGCGCACACACACACACAAACAGUGUGUGGAAUGGACAGACUUCUCCCUCUGCCUCAGUGAGUGCGUACAAACGCACAUACGCCGGUGGGGACACAUUCAAAAUUAGACCACACAAAGGUUUCCGGAAUAACAAGACGGUCAAGGAGAGGUCGUGGCAUGAGAGAAUAUUGCAGAACAUGAAGUACUCGGCCCCUAUUGAAUUGCGUUAUAGUAUGUCAAUUCAUUCCACACCUUACGAGUGUACUCUCCACCCUGAACCCCUUAGAUACAUCACGCUGCGCUUAAAUGUAUGACUGGGUCUGGUGAUACCUACAGAACCCAUCACGGUGCUCUGCUCUCUAUGGCAAAGUUUGCUGCCCCCCCGCUCUAUGUGUGAUCAACAAUGGUGUAUAUUUAUUCACAAUGAACUCUUAAACAAAAGACUGAUUUCCUAUCUUCACUAUUAGGCAAGGCAAGGCAAUUUAUUUAUAUAGCGCAUUUCAUACUCCAGGUAGACACAAUGUGAUUUACACAGCUGAGGCAUUACCUCAAAUAGAAGUACACAAGUAAGAAAAAAAACUCUUACUUGUGUACUCCAUGUAGAAAAAAAACUCCAUGUAGGAGUUUAUCAGAGCCAACCUGGGGAAUGGAUUAUACUACAUGUUCCUCAGGUCAACUCCAAACUCUGAACGAUUUAUUUUCUAAUGUUUUCGAUAAGAUAAGAUAUACUUUAUUCUUCUCAGCAGAGAAAUGUAGGCGUUCCAGCAGCCAGCAUACACACAACACAACUAGGGAUCGACCGAUACGGAUUUUUUAGGGCCGAUACGAUACAGAUAUUUUUUUAUCAGCCUUAGCCGAUACGCAGAUACGCCGAUACCGAUUUUCUUGAGCCGAUAUUUAGAGCCGAUAGUUAGAGCCGAUACUGCUUUUGCUCCCUCAAUCAUAAAAAUUACACUGAUAACAAAUGUUACAAGUCUCAAUUUAAAAAAAGGAACAUUUAUUGAACUUCAAUAUAAAAAACAAUAUUUAAGAAAUAGUAAAAACAGGUGAGGUAGAACAAGUAAGAACAA